UUUACAGGCGACUUGGCAUUAUUUUACAUGUGAAAAUCUAGGGAUGCUGGAAGUUUCUUUUAAAGUCGUUAAAGAAACUAUGACACAUAUGUUUGAAGAGAUCAGAGAUCUGUUACUACAGAAUAACGUACUUCAAAGCAAUCUACCACAACUUAUUGAUAACAGAUGAUGCCUUACCUUGAUGCAGGAUAAAGUUACUUACUCAUUAAUCUUGGCAAACGAAGAAAACGACACAACAGAAAAAGACGGGGAAGAUGACAGGUAGCGGCAGCGCGUAGGACAAAACUAUUCAUAAACAUUAGGACAUAAACACGACGAUUUCUCAUGCUAUCACCGUAUCAUGAAAGUUGAAACAAAAAAGAAACGAACAUGCUUAUAAAUUAACUGUCAUGUAAGUAAUUAAUCUUGUAUAAUGUGCACAUCAUGGUCAGAUACAGGACAAGGCAGAAUUGUUCUUUGAAUUGUUUUCAUCAAGUGUUUAAUGAAAUGCCCAAUUAAGUUUUGAUUCUGCAAGAGAGAGACGGAAAGGAGAGCUGGGAACGACCGGAAGUUGUGGUGGCUGUGUGACCGAGGUAUAAUUGAAUUGAAGUUCGUAGAAGUAAUUUUAUACAUCAGCUUCAAAAGGUGAACUACCAAUCAAAGAAUCUCAUCUCUGGUGCCACUUUCAAACAGGACUUUUGAGGGAGUGCAAAGAAAUUUUUACUCUGGUUUUUUAAUUGCUUAUAAUUGCUACGUCAACUUAGACACCUCUUAAAUCCCCAAUGGCUGGAACUUUAUAUCGGGCUCUUGUGCCAGGAGCUCCC